UUCACUUUCGUCUUUGAGCCCUCCUCUUCUGCAGUAAAUACUUUAACAAACAUAAGGAAAAAGGAGUAUGAGAGAAGGAGAAAGAGAAGGAGGAGGAGGAGAAGAGCUGAAGAUGACUUCACGAUCGAACAAAAUAUGCAGGGUGACCACUGGCUAAGGUCGAGAAUGUACAACAGGGCAGGAGUCUGCAGUAGGGCUUUGUGGAGGGUGGCAUUCUGCAGAACAGAGACAAUGGUAGGAGUCUUAUGCGUAGUGCAGGGGAGGUGGUCUUGCUUGCAGUGUAAGGGCAGUGGUCUUGCUUAUAGUGUAGGAAUAUUCUUUUGGAUAUUCUUUUUAUUCUCUCAUAUACCAAUUUGAAAAUUGAUCGAUACCAA